CUUGUUGGUGGGGUGAUGGCCUACCAAGGCGACGACGGGUAGCCGGCCUGAGAGGGCGACCGGCCACACUGGGACUGAGACACGGCCCAGACUCCUACGGGAGGCAGCAGUGGGGAAUAUUGCGCAAUGGGCGGAAGCCUGACGCAGCGACGCCGCGUGGGGGAUGACGGCCUUCGGGUUGUAAACCUCUUUCGACUUCGACGAAGCCUUCGGGUGACGGUAGGGGUGGAAGAAGCACCGGCCAACUACGUGCCAGCAGCCGCGGUAACACGUAGGGUGCGAGCGUUGUCCGGAAUUAUUGGGCGUAAAGAGCUCGUAGGCGGUGUGUCGCGUCGGCCGUGAAAACCUGUGGCUUAACUAUGGCUUGCGGUCGAUACGGGCAUCACUGGAGUUCGGCAGGGGAGACUGGAAUUCCUGGUGUAGCGGUGAAAUGCGCAGAUAUCAGGAGGAACACCGGUGGCGAAGGCGGGUCUCUGGGCCGAUACUGACGCUGAGGAGCGAAAGCGUGGGGAGCGAACAGGAUUAGAUACCCUGGUAGUCCACGCCGUAAACGUUGGGCGCUAGGUGUGGGGGCCAUUCCACGGUCUCUGUGCCGUAGCUAACGCAUUAAGCGCCCCGCCUGGGGAGUACGGCCGCAAGGCUAAAACUCAAAGGAAUUGACG
rnacentral:rRNA from 1 species